rnacentral:rRNA from 2 species
CAUGGCUCAGGACGAACGCUGGCGGCGUGCCUAAUACAUGCAAGUCGAACGAACUCUGGUAUUGAUUGGUGCUUGCAUCAUGAUUUACAUUUGAGUGAGUGGCGAACUGGUGAGUAACACGUGGGAAACCUGCCCAGAAGCGGGGGAUAACACCUGGAAACAGAUGCUAAUACCGCAUAACAACUUGGACCGCAUGGUCCGAGUUUGAAAGAUGGCUUCGGCUAUCACUUUUGGAUGGUCCCGCGGCGUAUUAGCUAGAUGGUGGGGUAACGGCUCACCAUGGCAAUGAUACGUAGCCGACCUGAGAGGGUAAUCGGCCACAUUGGGACUGAGACACGGCCCAAACUCCUACGGGAGGCAGCAGUAGGGAAUCUUCCACAAUGGACGAAAGUCUGAUGGAGCAACGCCGCGUGAGUGAAGAAGGGUUUCGGCUCGUAAAACUCUGUUGUUAAAGAAGAACAUAUCUGAGAGUAACUGUUCAGGUAUUGACGGUAUUUAACCAGAAAGCCACGGCUAACUACGUGCCAGCAGCCGCGGUAAUACGUAGGUGGCAAGCGUUGUCCGGAUUUAUUGGGCGUAAAGCGAGCGCAGGCGGUUUUUUAAGUCUGAUGUGAAAGCCUUCGGCUCAACCGAAGAAGUGCAUCGGAAACUGGGAAACUUGAGUGCAGAAGAGGACAGUGGAACUCCAUGUGUAGCGGUGAAAUGCGUAGAUAUAUGGAAGAACACCAGUGGCGAAGGCGGCURUCUGGUCUGUAACUGACGCUGAGGCUCGAAAGUAUGGGUAGCAAACAGGAUUAGAUACCCUGGUAGUCCAUACCGUAAACGAUGAAUGCUAAGUGUUGGAGGGUUUCCGCCCUUCAGUGCUGCAGCUAACGCAUUAAGCAUUCCGCCUGGGGAGUACGGCCGCAAGGCUGAAACUCAAAGGAAUUGACGGGGGCCCGCACAAGCGGUGGAGCAUGUGGUUUAAUUCGAAGCUACGCGAAGAACCUUACCAGGUCUUGACAUACUAUGCAAAUCUAAGAGAUUAGACGUUCCCUUCGGGGACAUGGAUACAGGUGGUGCAUGGUUGUCGUCAGCUCGUGUCGUGAGAUGUUGGGUUAAGUCCCGCAACGAGCGCAACCCUUAUUAUCAGUUGCCAGCAUUAAGUUGGGCACUCUGGUGAGACUGCCGGUGACAAACCGGAGGAAGGUGGGGAUGACGUCAAAUCAUCAUGCCCCUUAUGACCUGGGCUACACACGUGCUACAAUGGAUGGUACAACGAGUUGCGAACUCGCGAGAGUAAGCUAAUCUCUUAAAGCCAUUCUCAGUUCGGAUUGUAGGCUGCAACUCGCCUACAUGAAGUCGGAAUCGCUAGUAAUCGCGGAUCAGCAUGCCGCGGUGAAUACGUUCCCGGGCCUUGUACACACCGCCCGUCACACCAUGAGAGUUUGUA